AUUGAACGCUGGCGGCAGGCCUAACACAUGCAAGUCGAGCGGAUGAAGGGAGCUUGCUCCUGGAUUCAGCGGCGGACGGGUGAGUAAUGCCUAGGAAUCUGCCUGGUAGUGGGGGAUAACGUCCGGAAACGGGCGCUAAUACCGCAUACGUCCUGAGGGAGAAAGUGGGGGAUCUUCGGACCUCACGCUAUCAGAUGAGCCUAGGUCGGAUUAGCUAGUUGGUGGGGUAAAGGCCUACCAAGGCGACGAUCCGUAACUGGUCUGAGAGGAUGAUCAGUCACACUGGAACUGGGACACGGUCCAGACUCCUACGGGAGGCAGCAGUGGGGAAUAUUGGACAAUGGGCGAAAGCCUGAUCCAGCCAUGCCGCGGGUGUGAAGAAGGUCUUCGGAUUGUAAAGCACUUUAAGUUGGGAGGAAGGGCAGUAAGUUAAUACCUUGCUGUUUUGACGUUACCAACAGAAUAAGCACCGGCUAACUUCGUG
rnacentral:rRNA from 1 species